rnacentral:lncRNA from 10 species
GUUCCUGGUUGCGUUUAGCCCAGACGCCCUGCGGCCGCUUUGCCUGACCAAAGUCUGUGGGCGUGGAACAGGCCCUGGGUUCUCCUACUGGGAAGAAUGAAGUUCAGGUACUCCAUGUGAUAUAUGGUUCCACAAUCCUCAGCGUGUUAACUGAAGCCUUGUUGAGUUUAACAAAGCUGCCAUUGAAGAUCUGGGGAAAGUGAAGAAGUUGCAACAGAGUUUUGGGCUCACACCAUUGAUACAUUUGAUCCUUAAGGCAAGUGACAAUUUGGGUUUCACAGGUAUAUAGAAAUUGCCAGCUUUUCUUGCCAUAUAUUUCUUGUGACAGUGCUGAGCUUUUUUUUUUUACUUCUUGCUUGCUUUUUUUUGGACUUGAUUUUUUAAAUUAUGUUUCCUUCCUUCCUUCUUUCUUUGUUUUUUUUUUUUUUGAGACAGGAUCUUGUCCUAUUGUCCCGGCUUACGUGCAGUGGCACAGUCACGGCUCACUGCAGCCUUGACCUCCUGGGCUCCAGCAAUCCUCCUACCUCAGCCUCCCUAGUACCUGAGGUUG